rnacentral:rRNA from 1 species
GGUUAAGCGACUAAGCGUACACGGUGGAUGCCCUGGCAGUCAGAGGCGAUGAAGGACGUGCUAAUCUGCGAAAAGCGUCGGUAAGGUGAUAUGAACCGUUACAGCCGGCGAUGUCCGAAUGGGGAAACCCAGUGCAAUUCGUUGCACUAUCGUUAACUGAAUACAUAGGUUAACGAGGCGAACCGGGGGAACUGAAACAUCUAAGUACCCCGAGGAAAAGAAAUCAACCGAGAUUCCCCCAGUAGCGGCGAGCGAACGGGGAGCAGCCCAGAGUCUGAAUCAGCUUGUGUGUUAGUGGAACGGUCUGGAAAGUCCGACGGUACAGGGUGAUAGUCCCGUACACCAAAAUGCACAGGCUGUGAACUCGAAGAGUAGGGCGGGACACGUGGUAUCCUGUCUGAAUAUGGGGGGACCAUCCUCCAAGGCUAAAUACUCCUGACUGACCGAUAGUGAACCAGUACCGUGAGGGAAAGGCGAAAAGAACCCCGGCGAGGGGAGUGAAAAAGAACCUGAAACCGUGUACGUACAAGCAGUGGGAGCACCUUCGGGUGUGACUGCGUACCUUUUGUAUAAUGGGUCAGCGACUUAUAUUCUGUAGCAAGGUUAACCGUAUAGGGGAGCCGCAGGGAAACCGAGUCUUAACUGGGCGUUAAGUUGCAGGGUAUAGACCCGAAACCCGGUGAUCUAGCCAUGGGCAGGUUGAAGGUUGGGUAACACUAACUGGAGGACCGAACCGACUAAUGUUGAAAAAUUAGCGGAUGACUUGUGGCUGGGGGUGAAAGGCCAAUCAAACCGGGAGAUAGCUGGUUCUCCCCGAAAGCUAUUUAGGUAGCGCCUCGUGAAUUCAUCUUCGGGGGUAGAGCACUGUUUCGGCUAGGGGGUCAUCCCGACUUACCAACCCGAUGCAAACUACGAAUACCGAAGAAUGUUAUCACGGGAGACACACGGCGGGUGCUAACGUCCGUCGUGAAGAGGGAAACAACCCAGACCGCCAGCUAAGGUCCCAAAGUCAUGGUUAAGUGGGAAACGAUGUGGGAAGGCACAGACAGCCAGGAUGUUGGCUUAGAAGCAGCCAUCAUUUAAAGAAAGCGUAAUAGCUCACUGGUCGAGUCGGCCUGCGCGGAAGAUGUAACGGGGCUAAACCAUGCACCGAAGCUGCGGCAGCGACACUAUGUGUUGUUGGGUAGGGGAGCGUUCUGUAAGCCUGCGAAGGUGACUGUGAGGGUGCUGGAGGUAUCAGAAGUGCGAAUGCUGACAUAAGUAACGAUAAAGCGGGUGAAAAGCCCGCUCGCCGGAAGACCAAGGGUUCCUGUCCAACGUUAAUCGGGGCAGGGUGAGUCGACCCCUAAGGCGAGGCCGAAAGGCGUAGUCGAUGGGAAACAGGUUAAUAUUCCUGUACUUGGUGUUACUGCGAAGGGGGGACGGAGAAGGCUAUGUUAGCCGGGCGACGGUUGUCCCGGUUUAAGCAUGUAGGCUGGUUGUCCAGGCAAAUCCGGAUAAUCAAGGCUGAGGUGUGAUGACGAGGCACUACGGUGCUGAAGUAACAAAUGCCCUGCUUCCAGGAAAAGCCUCUAAGCAUCAGGUAACAUUAAAUCGUACCCCAAACCGACACAGGUGGUCAGGUAGAGAAUACCAAGGCGCUUGAGAGAACUCGGGUGAAGGAACUAGGCAAAAUGGUGCCGUAACUUCGGGAGAAGGCACGCUGGUGUGUAGGUGAAGUCCCUGCGGAUGGAGCUGAGACCAGUCGAAGAUACCAGCUGGCUGCAACUGUUUAUUAAAAACACAGCACUGUGCAAACACGAAAGUGGACGUAUACGGUGUGACGCCUGCCCGGUGCCGGAAGGUUAAUUGAUGGGGUUAUCCGUAAGGAGAAGCUCUUGAUCGAAGCCCCGGUAAACGGCGGCCGUAACUAUAACGGUCCUAAGGUAGCGAAAUUCCUUGUCGGGUAAGUUCCGACCUGCACGAAUGGCGUAAUGAUGGCCAGGCUGUCUCCACCCGAGACUCAGUGAAAUUGAACUCGCUGUGAAGAUGCAGUGUACCCGCGGCAAGACGGAAAGACCCCGUGAACCUUUACUAUAGCUUGACACUGAACAUUGAGCCUUGAUGUGUAGGAUAGGUGGGAGGCUUUGAAGCGUGGACGCCAGUCUGCGUGGAGCCAACCUUGAAAUACCACCCUUUAAUGUUUGAUGUUCUAACGUUGGCCCCUUACCGGGGUUGCGGACAGUGUCUGGUGGGUAGUUUGACUGGGGCGGUCUCCUCCCAAAGCGUAACGGAGGAGCACGAAGGUUAGCUAAUCCUGGUCGGACAUCAGGAGGUUAGUGCAAUGGCAUAAGCUAGCUUGACUGCGAGCGUGACGGCGCGAGCAGGUGCGAAAGCAGGUCAUAGUGAUCCGGUGGUUCUGAAUGGAAGGGCCAUCGCUCAACGGAUAAAAGGUACUCCGGGGAUAACAGGCUGAUACCGCCCAAGAGUUCAUAUCGACGGCGGUGUUUGGCACCUCGAUGUCGGCUCAUCACAUCCUGGGGCUGAAGUAGGUCCCAAGGGUAUGGCUGUUCGCCAUUUAAAGUGGUACGCGAGCUGGGUUUAGAACGUCGUGAGACAGUUCGGUCCCUAUCUGCCGUGGGCGCUGGAGAAUUGAGGGGGGCUGCUCCUAGUACGAGAGGACCGGAGUGGACGCAUCACUGGUGUUCGGGUUGUCAUGCCAAUGGCACUGCCCGGUAGCUAAAUGCGGAAGAGAUAAGUGCUGAAAGCAUCUAAGCACGAAACUUGCCCCGAGAUGAGUUCUCCCUGAGACUUUAAGUCUCCUGAAGGAACGUUAAAGACGAUGACGUUGAUAGGCCGGGUGUGUAAGCGCAGCGAUGCGUUGAGCUAACCGGUACUAAUGAACCGUGAGGCUUAACCUU